rnacentral:misc_RNA from 1 species
UAAUUUUCAUUAUUUAGAUUUAUUUGACUUAAUUGGAUACAUGCAACUUUAAUUUUGAUCAUCAGCAAAAGAAUGGACGGGUGCAUUAGAUCAUUAUUUAUUUAUUUUUAUUGUUGGCCUUAGCUUAUGCAUGACAUACAUGUGAGUCUGAUUUAAAAGGCUUGCCAUAGCCCCAUUAACAUAUGCAUUAUCAAGGAAAAAAAAGGGAAGGGGAGAAAAGAAAAAGAAAUAUGUAAUUAAGAUUUUUUUUUUCUCUCUCAACUUGUCUCCUUUUCAUGGUCAUCUUUGCUGUGGUCAGAUUGCUGCUCAGAAUCUCAUCCUAGUCAAAUAGAACUGCAACUGAAAAACAGUUGCAUAGCUACAUAUUCUCGUUGUUGAUUCAUGUGUUGCAUUUAAAAGAACACUCGCAGAGCAUCCACAACUUUCUCAGGCCAGUCCUCCUGUGGCAUAUGACCAGCACCUUCUAUCAACUUCAGCUUUACAACAUCAGGAUUUCCUUUCUGGAACUCUUCUGCCACAGAUUGAGGCAAAAAUUUGUCUGCUAUUCCCCAAGCAAGAAGUAUUGGUUUAUCCCAUCUUUCAGUUGCAAAGCCAUUGGCUAUUUGGCUUGAAAUAUCUUGGAAAUUAAUCUUUCUUGCAGCCUCGAGGAGAGCUGAAACAACAAUUUUGAACUUAGCUCGCCUUGACAAUUGCAACCGCUCCGUAAUCAAAGGAUUACUUGUAAUGAUUGAUGCAUUUUACAACACAACCAUAUGGUAUGUGUGUGUGUCAGCUGUCAGCUUUCAGCUCAAUGAAAACAAUUGCAGUAUCAGUUCUUCUUAAAUGAAGAAAAAGAAUUGAGAUACAAACCAAAUCCUGGUCCACUACUUGCCAAAUAUGGUAAUCGGUAAACGUCAGCCUUUUCUGUCUUCAGGACAUAACUGCUUCAAUAAAGCGUUCAGCCAUAACAGCAUUUUGGGAAGUAAAUUCUCCAAAAAGAGGAAUUCUGCAUACAGUGUAUAAGAAUAAAUAAAUAAAAAUAAGAAGAAAGAAAAUAAUUAAAAGAAAAAAACAAAGGUUGGACAUGCUUGAAAGAGACUACGAAAGAAGCAUCAAACCAUGCAAGGCUCACAGGUAGCUUAUAUAAUCCUCAUAAUACAACAUGUUAUGGGCAUUUUAUCAAACAGAAUAAUCACAGAACCUUAGCUUUUGAAAUAGCCCAGGAACAGGAGAUGAAACUGUUAAUGGACUGUUCAAAAUUGCCAUCUUUGAUAUCUUGCUAUUGUUUUUCAGGGCCCAAGUCAAUCCAUAAGAACCUACAAGAAACCCCUUUGGGGAGAAUAUGAGACGCACACAUUAGGUGCACAGCUUUACUUGAAUAAACCUCUAAAACAAUUUAUCAAGUUACUGGAAAACAGAACCAGCAUAUGCAGAUUCAGGAUGUUUUAUAAAUGUAUUGAUGCCCUGCAUAAUAUUUUGCCACAAAUGCAAAUCAAUAACUUGUAUUCAGAAGCUUCACCCAAACCUGAACAACAAGAAAGAAGGGAGAUUUAAUGUCCAGAACAUCAAGUAAUU